rnacentral:rRNA from 1 species
CAGUAGCCGCGGUAAUACGUAGGUGGCAAGCGUUGUCGGGAAUUAUUGGGCGUAAAGGGCUCGCAGGCGGUUUCUUAAGUCUGAUGUGAAAGCCCCCGGCUCAACCGGGGAGGGUCAUUGGAAACUGGGAAACUUGAGUGCAGAAGAGGAGAGUGGAAUUCCACGUGUAGCGGUGAAAUGCGUAGAGAUGUGGAGGAACACCAGUGGCGAAGGCGACUCUCUGGUCUGUAACUGACGCUGAGGAGCGAAAGCGUGGGGAGCGAACAGGAUUAGAUACCCCUGUAGUCCCUGUCUCUUAUAC